rnacentral:rRNA from 1 species
UACGUAGGGGGCUAGCGUUGUCCGGAUUCAUUGGGCGUAAGCGCGUGUAGGCGGCCAGACCGGUCCGUUGUGAAAACUCGAGGCUCAACCUCGAGACGUCGACGGAAACCGUCUGGCUAGAGUCCGGAAGAGGAGUGUGGAAUUCCUGGUGUAGCGGUGAAAUGCGCAGAUAUCAGGAAGAACACCCGUGGCUAAGGCGGUUCUCUAGUACGGUACUGACGCUGAGACGCGAAAGCGUGGGGAGCGAACAGG